rnacentral:rRNA from 1 species
GACGAACGCUGGCGGCGUGCUUAACACAUGCAAGUCGAACGGACAGGCCCUUCUUUUGUGGGGUGCUCGAGUGGCGAACGGGUGAUUAACACGUGAGUAACCUGCCCUUGACUUUGGGAUAACUUCAGGAAACUGGGGCUAAUACCGGAUAGGAGCUCCUGCUGCAUGGUGGGGGUUGGAACGUUUCGGCGGUUGGGGAUGGACUCGCGGCUUAUCAGCUUGUUGGUGGGGUAGUGGCUUACCAAGGCUUUGACGGGUAGCCGGCCUGAGAGGGUGACCGGCCACAUUGGGACUGAGAUACGGCCCAGACUACUACGGGAGGCAGCAGUGGGGAAUAGUGCACAAUGGGCGGAAGCAUGAUGCAGCAACGCAGCGUGCGGGAUGACGGCCUUCGGGUUGUAAACCGAUUUCGCCUGUGACGAAGCGUGAGUGACGGUAAUGGGUAAAGAAGCACCGGCUAACUACGUG